UACGAAGGGGGCGAGCGUUGUUCGGAGUUACUGGGCGUAAAGGGCGCGUAGGCGGCGCUCCAAGUUAGGCGUGAAAGCCCCGGGCUCAACCCGGGAACUGCGUCCGAUACUGGAAGGCUUGAAUCCGGGAGAGGGAUGCGGAAUUCCAGGUGUAGCGGUGAAAUGCGUAGAUAUCUGGAGGAACACCGGUGGCGAAGGCGGCAUCCUGGACCGGCAUUGACGCUGAGGCGCGAAAGCCAGGGGAGCAAACGGG
rnacentral:rRNA from 1 species